rnacentral:rRNA from 1 species
AGAUUGAACGCUGGCGGCAGGCUUAACACAUGCAAGUCGAGCGGGGAAAGGUAGCUUGCUACCUAACCUAGCGGCGGACGGGUGAGUAAUGCUUAGGAAUCUGCCUAUUAGUGGGGGACAACAUUCCGAAAGGAAUGCUAAUACCGCAUACGCCCUACGGGGGAAAGCAGGGGAUCUUCGGACCUUGCGCUAAUAGAUGAGCCUAAGUCAGAUUAGCUAGUUGGUGGGGUAAAGGCCUACCAAGGCGACGAUCUGUAGCGGGUCUGAGAGGAUGAUCCGCCACACUGGGACUGAGACACGGCCCAGACUCCUACGGGAGGCAGCAGUGGGGAAUAUUGGACAAUGGGCGAAAGCCUGAUCCAGCCAUGCCGCGUGUGUGAAGAAGGCCUUUUGGUUGUAAAGCACUUUAAGCGAGGAGGAGGCUACUUAGAUUAAUACUCUAGGAUAGUGGACGUUACUCGCAGAAUAAGCACCGGCUAACUCUGUGCCAGCAGCCGCGGUAAUACAGAGGGUGCGAGCGUUAAUCGGAUUUACUGGGCGUAAAGCGUGCGUAGGCGGCUUUUUAAGUCGGAUGUGAAAUCCCUGAGCUUAACUUAGGAAUUGCAUUCGAUACUGGGAAGCUAGAGUAUGGGAGAGGAUGGUAGAAUUCCAGGUGUAGCGGUGAAAUGCGUAGAGAUCUGGAGGAAUACCGAUGGCGAAGGCAGCCAUCUGGC